rnacentral:rRNA from 1 species
GACGAACGCUGGCGGCGUGCUUAACACAUGCAAGUCGAACGGAAAGGCCCUGCUUUUGUGGGGUGCUCGAGUGGCGAACGGGUGUGUAACACGUGAGUAACCUGCCCUUGACUUUGGGAUAACUUCAGGAAACUGGGGCUAAUACCGGAUAGGAGCUCCUGCUGCAUGGUGGGGGUUGGAAAGUUUCGUCGGUUGGGGAUGGACUCGCGGCUUAUCAGCUUGUUGGUGGGGUAGUGGCUUACCAAGGCUUUGACGGGUAGCCGGCCUGAGAGGGUGACCGGCCACAUUGGGACUGAGAUACGGCCCAGACUCCUACGGGAGGCAGCAGUGGGGAAUAUUGCACAAUGGGCGGAAGCCUGAUGCAGCAACGCCGCGUGCGGGAUGACGGCCUUCGGGUUGUAAACCGCUUUCGCCUGUGACGAAGCGUGAGUGACGGUAAUGGGUAAAGAAGCACCGGCUAACUACGUG